UACAGAGGUCCCGAGCGUUGUUCGGAUUCAUUGGGCGUAAAGGGUGCGUAGGUGGCGCUGUAAGUCGGGUGUGAAAUUUCGAGGCUUAACCUCGAAACUGCAUUCGAUACUGCGGUGCUUGAGGACUGGAGAGGAGACUGGAAUUCAUGGUGUAGCAGUGAAAUGCGUAGAGAUCAUGAGGAAGACCAGUGGCGAAGGCGGGUCUCUGGACAGUUCCUGACACUGAGGCACGAAGGCCAGGGGAGCAAACGGG
rnacentral:rRNA from 1 species